UACGUAGGUGGCAAGCGUUGUCCGGAAUUAUUGGGCGUAAAGCGCGCGCAGGCGGUCCUUUAAGUCUGAUGUGAAAGCCCACGGCUCAACCGUGGAGGGUCAUUGGAAACUGGGGGGACUUGAGUGCAGAAGAGGAGAGUGGAAUUCCACGUGUAGCGGUGAAAUGCGUAGAGAUGUGGAGGAACACCAACGGCGAAGGCAGCUCGCUGGGACGGUACUGACGCUGAGGCGCGAAAGCGUGGGGAGCAAACAGG
rnacentral:rRNA from 1 species